rnacentral:lncRNA from 1 species
CCACUUAUGCUGCUCCAUGCGAAGCUGUCUCAAAAUCGCCUUCAAAGAGCCCUUGUCUCCAUCUGUGAGCUGAAGUGCUAUAUUGAGAGAAGAAAUGACAGGUGAUCCUUAAAAGAAAAUAUGUAAAGUCUCCAUGGUGCAUAGACAUGAGGACCUUCCAAAGAUCACAGCCACUGGUAGUUUCCUGUAGAAGUGCUCUGAUAUGAUGUUCUUGCUGAGGAGGACAUUAUAAGAACUCUCUCUUCUUUCUCCCAUAUGAAUUUGAUGAAGAACACACAUCUACAAAAUUAUGAAGACACUCAGAAUUCAGAACCCCCAAGAACUGCUAUAUGGACGCUCCUUAUACAUCAUUAAAUAAAGUCUCAUUUAA